rnacentral:rRNA from 1 species
UACGUAGGGUCCGAGCGUUGUCCGGAAUUACUGGGCGUAAAGAGCUCGUAGGUGGUUUGUCGCGUUGUUCGUGAAAACUCACAGCUUAACUGUGGGCGUGCGGGCGAUACGGGCAGACUGGAGUACUGCAGGGGAGACUGGAAUUCCUGGUGUAGCGGUGAAAUGCGCAGAUAUCAGGAGGAACACCGGUGGCGAAGGCGGGUCUCUGGUCCGAUACUGACGCUGAGGAGCGAAAGCGUGGGGAUCAAACAGG